CAUCAGGACUGCAGCAGGACUUUGUUCAGGACGAAAGGAAACAUAAUCGAGGAUAUGGAGGAAAUCACAGAAGAAGCUGACUAUGUGAAUGCACCAGAAGGCCCUGUGGAUAAAAAGGCAACGCGUCCAGAGGACACCAAAAAAGAAGCUGCACCAGAA